GAUGAACGCUGGCGGCGUGCCUAAUACAUGCAAGUCGAACGCGAGAGGAGAGAGCUUGCUCCCUCUGAUCGAGCGGCGGACGGGUGAGUAACACGUAGGCAACCUGCCCAUCAGCCGGGGAUAACUGCGGGAAACCGUGGCUAAUACCGGAUAAUCCUCUCCACCGCGGGGUGGGGAGUUGAAAGACGGUUUCGGCUGUCGCUGAUGGAUGGGCCUGCGGCGCAUUAGCUGGUUGGCGGGGUAACGGCCCACCAAGGCAACGAUGCGUAGCCGACCUGAGAGGGUGAUCGGCCACACUGGGACUGAGACACGGCCCAGACUCCUACGGGAGGCAGCAGUAGGGAAUCUUCCGCAAUGGACGCAAGUCUGACGGAGCAACGCCGCGUGAGUGAAGAAGGGUUUCGGCUCGUAAAACUCUGUUGUUAAGGAAGAACGCCAGGUAGAGUAACUGCUACCUGUGUGGCGGUACUUAACCAGAAAGCCACGGCUAACUACGUGCCAGCCGCCGCAGUAA
rnacentral:rRNA from 1 species